UGUGACUCAACUACAUCAUCAAGGGUUCAGGUUUUUUUCCAUCUUUCUGUUCUUCUACUCAGGGUUUUGGCUUUGUUCUCAUGUCAUUACUCACCGAGGGGAGACAGCUGGUCCAAGCGUCCCUGCUGGAUGCAACGAUGUCAAGAGGAAGCAAAGGACAUACUCUUGUGAUAUCCCCUUUUUAGGAGGAAGAGAAUAUUUUCCAGGAGCUUCCAGCCCUUUUACAUCUCAUUGACCAGAAGACUGGGGUGGUUACAUACUCAACCUUAAAAUAAUCUUUAACAAGGGGAAGUUGAUAACCACAGACUUCAGCACUUCAAGAAGAAUCUCCAAGUAGAAUAGACUUGCUAUCCAACCAGGCUCCUCUGUCCAUGGGAUUUCCCAGGCAAGAAUAUUGGAGUAGGUUGCCGUUUCCUUCCCCAGAGGACAUUUUAAAUAUGCACACCUGGACCACAUUUCUCAGCCUCCUUUGGAGUUAGGUGGUUGCUCUUUCUCACUCUGUCUCCACCUGCUGGCCGGGUGCAGAGAAAUCUGGAGGAGAAUCUGAAGCCCUAACAGACAGUAGAGAAACCAGACAGAAAUGAUGGGUGCUUGAGGACUCACUUGGCAGACUAACUCAAGAACAUCUGCAUUUGUCAUGAUACUACAUUACGUCAGGUCUCCUUGGCUCUUCUUGGUUGUGACUGUUUUUCAGACUGUUUUUGAUGACCUUGAGAGUUUUGAGGAGUACUACUGGUCAGGUAUUUUGUAAAAACUCCAUCUGCUUAGAUCUGUGUGACUGGAGAAGUCAUGACUAGAGUGAAGUUAGAAAUUUGGGGGAGGAAGAUCACAGAGGUCAAGUGCCGUUUUCAGCACAUCAUAUGAACGGUACGUACUUUCAAUAUGACUUAUCACUGCUGAUACUGACUUUCACCUGGUGGCGAUAGUGUGUGCAAGUGAGGAAGUCACUAUGUGCUGAUGAGACUGAAGGAGUGGAGGGUUAUAUACUGCAUGUCAAGGGUAGUGUAUUUUUAUAAAUCAGUUAAACACCUAGGAGUGUGAUUGCUGGAUCAUAUGGUAAAACCACAUUCAGCUGUGUGAGAAACUGCCCAAAUGUUUUUAAAGUGCCUACACCAUUUUGCAUCCCAUCAGCAACAAAUGAAAGCAUCCUCAGCAGGAAUUGAUGUCAAUUUCUUGGAUUGUAACCAUUCUAAUAAGUGUGCAGUGGUAUCUCACUAUUGUUUUCUUUUUCUUUUCUUUUUAAAUUAUACUAGUUUAAGGAACCUAUGCCUGGCAAUUUAGGAGUAUCUCUCAAUAUUUUUCUCUUGUCUGAUGUUUGUACCAAUUCUUGUUCAUGUAUUGUUUUGGCAAUAUCACAUGAUCUUAUUAGGUUUUUCUAAUGUUUUCAGGCUGAUCUUGUUUUAUUUCCCAUUGUCAGGAGUGAAAGCAGGGUCCUGGGUUCCCUUUGCUUUAUCCCAUAUCCCAGGUCCAGAGUUGGCUUUAAAAAGUUAUGACAAAAACAGUUCUGUAAUUAUACUGCUGCUGCUGCUAA